UCCCUUUUCACGUGCGUCCUUUUCUCCUUUCUUCUCUUUUUCCUCCGCACCAUUCAUUUUUAGAGGACAUUCUUUCUUAUCUCUACUCUCUCUUCUUUCCUCUGAAUUGCUCUAGACAGUCCUUCGCUCCCUUCUUCUACCACCCUCUUCCUCCCACUUCAUCCUUGGAGAAUUGAAAUCGUGCUCUUCUCUCUCCUCCAUUGUCGCAUUUCUUUACAAAGGCCGGCUAGCAAAAAGACAUGAAUGAGUGGAACUUCUCUUGGAGGAACUCUGAUACUUGAGCUUGGGUACCUUGACAAUUUAAGAGCUAUAUAUAAUACUCCGACAAAAACACCCUUCAGCUGCCAUUCCAGUAGAGUUUGGAUGUCUUACCAAGAUUGAGGUACUGGAUUUGAGUGGUAAUUAUUUGACUGGAUUGGUUCUGACAGAGAUUGCAAACAUGGAGUCACUGGAACGAAUAGAUUACUUAGUGACAAACUGACAACAACUUCAAAGACACCAUCCCUCCAGAGCUUGAGGAGCAUAACCAACUGUCUGAGCUGCAGUUUAUGAAUACCUUGCAUUUGUUACCAACAGAAAAUUUGGCCAACGCACAUCCGCACUGAUCUUGUAAUGAGACAGCAUGUCGGAUGGUAGUGGAUCUUCCACCGAGGGGGAUACUUCGGACUACUGCUUGCAGCCUCGGGUUGCUUCUUCUCGUCCGAUGAGGCGAGAGGGUACCUACCGUGCUCGACGUUCUCGGAGGAUGAGGGAUGCCUCUCCGUCUCCUCCGUUGAAGUCCGGAGGGGGUUCUGACCCCGAGGACGGGCCUCUUUGUUUGGACCCCAUAGAGUAUGAUGGGUUUGACUUGCACCACAACUUGGAGCAUCACGUGGUGUCCCGGUUUCGUACCGGAAAGGCUGGGACAGAUACGGCUUGUCGACCUUACGGGGGUCGGUCUUCAUUGAGCGCUUGGGGAAGCUGGAUGAGCGGACUCGUGUUCAUGUGGAGGCGUGUUCGUUGUAUCCGACGGUGCGGGUCUUUAGGGAGGUCGUGGGCCCUAAUGUAUCUACGUGGUUUGUGCGCCUGCUUCUUGAGUGGUGGUGGGAUACCACCAACACUUUUCACUUUCCUUGGGGGAGAUGACUGUCACCCCUGAGGACUAUACUGCUCUUACGGGGCAUUCCUUUACGGGUAGGCCCGUUAAUGUUGCUAGAGAGACUACUAUGCCGUCUCAGGAGACGGUUAGGGAGUGUAUUCGGGAAGACUUGGCAGUAGAGGUGGCCAAGUACAAGGGGAAGGGGAUGCCUUACUCCUUGUUGGUGGAUUUUCUAGCGGCGGGCCGCCCCUCUGGUGUGGCUGUACGGGUCUUGGACGGUCCAGAUAGGCUCAUGCGUCCCAUUUCUCUGUGUGCCGUGCCGCAACUUCUUGAGUUGUUGGCUUUUGAGCGCUUUCCCUUCUUCGCUCCUUGGUUUGGUAGAGUGGUCGGGGGUUACCCUGCUGCCUUUUGGUGGGGUACCGCUGGGAAGCUGAAGAAACGCCCAGCCAUAAAGUACUUCAGGGACAUGAUUGCAGUUGGGCGCCCUGACUUGGUGAGUUGGUCUGCUGGGCUAGACUAGAAGAGACCGAGGAGUUGAGGGAGGCCCGGCUCCAGUCUCGGUGUCGGAUCUUGUACCAGGGUCCUAAGGGCCUGGCUUGGUUUUUGGGGGAGCGGGUACUCCGGCAGACUACGAGCUCAUCCCGGUGCCCCGAUCGCGUCCUUCGAGCAUGCUGCUCCCUACGGGCAUCCUUGUUAGCCGUGGGGCAGUGUUGCGGCAAGGUAUGCCUGCGGGCGACUUUGUGUUGCUCGACCACAGCUAUGCUGAGUUUCUGCAGCUCCGGAUUUUUCUUCCGCAUGUCGUCGAGCCUGAGCCCAUUAACCUUGGCGGUUGGGUGCCACCAGGUUGUUCGGUCCGCUAUACUACGACGGGCGAGGCCAGGAUCAUAGAGGAGGUGCCUGUGAUUCUCGAAGAGGACGGACCCCAUCCGUUGGUUCUUGCGGAUGUUCGUGUGGUGUCUGCUAGGAAGGUCAACCAGGGGGUGCGCAUAGUCAACCGGUUAAAGGGCGCGUUGUCCUUGGUUCGGGCGUCUCUCUCUUGCAGCAACCCGGGCUCGACUCCGGAUUUUGCAGAUUGGCGGUCCACAGGCUCGUGUGCCAGAGUAGAUGCGGACACCUCAGAGGGACAGUUAUUCGUUUGAGGGUGACCCUGGUGCCUCCGGGUCGCAUGUUAGGCUGCGCUAUUUGGACGUUGGUUUGGGUCGGAGGCCCAAACCAACGUCCAAAUGGGCCUAGGAUGAGCUAUGGUUGGCCGUUCGGGGUGCCUCAGUCCCCGAUGGGUUGGCAGGCCCCUUCAUUCCUGUCGUUUCAGACCGGCUGGCAGCCUCAGCCAUUUCAGUAGCCUUCACGUCCCGGGUGGGUGCCCGCGACGCAGACGCAGAGCUGGGACUCUUCUUAGUUCGAGACUUUGUUCGGUGGUCCGCAGGGUUCGCAGGGUGCUGGCACGAGUGGUGGUGCUCAUGAUGAUGAUGAUGAGAAUGAGCCUUUUCUUCCGGGGGUUUACUGGGCCCCCUUAGUGGGCGAUAUACACGUAUUUGGAAAUGUAUCAUUUUCCGUGUCGUGCUUCAUACUUUGUAUUAUUAUACUUUAAGUUUAUUUUGUUCCUCUGUGCAUGCAUCGAUUUUUGCGAAAAAUGGGCCAUUUUUCAGUAUUGUAGUAUUUUUUCCUUUGCCGAAG